rnacentral:rRNA from 1 species
GGUUCGAUUAUGGCUCAGAUUGAACGCGCUGGCGGGAUGCUUUACACAUGCAAGUCGAACGGCAGCACGGACUUCAGUCUGGUGGCGAGAGUGGCGAACGGGUGAAGUAAUGUAUCGGAACGUGCCUAGUGGCGGGGGAUAACUACGCGAAAGCGUAGCUAAUACCGCAUACGCCCUUCGGGGAAAGCGGGGACGGGCCUCGCACUAUUAGAGCAGCCGAUAUCGGAUUAGCUAGUUGGUGGGGUAACGGCUCACCAGGAGGCGACGAUCCGUAGCUGGUUUGAGAGGACGACCAGCCACACUGGGACUGAGGCGGUGAAAGCCCGAAGACUCCUACGGGAGGCAGCAGUGGGGAAUUUUGGACAGUAAACCCUGAUCCAGCCAUCCCGCGUGUGCGAUGAAGGCCUUCAGGUUUGUAAAGCACUUUUGGCAGGAAAGAAACGGCACGGGAUAAUACCCGUGCAACUGACCAAUACCUGCAGAAUAAGCACCGGUAACACGUGCCAGCAGCCGCGGUAAUACGUAGGGUGCAAGCGUUAAUGGAAUUACUGGGCGUAAAGCGUGCGCAGGCGGUUCGGAAAAGAAAGAUCCUUGAAAUCCCGACUUAACUUUGGAACUGCAUUUUUAACUACCGAGCUAGAGUGUGUCAGAGGAGGUGGAAUUCCCGCGUGUAGCAGUGAAAUGCGUAGAUAUGCGGAGGAACACCGAUGGCGAAGGCAGCCUCCUGGGAUAGGAUAACACUGACGCUCAUGCACGAAAAAGCGUGGGGCAAACAGGAUUAGAUGCCUGGUAGUCCACGCCUAAACCGUGUCAACUAGCUGUUGGGGCCUUCGGGCCUUGGUAGCUGGCUAACGCGUGAAUUCUGACCCGCUGGGGAGUACGGUCGCAAGAUUAAAACUCAAAGAAAUUGACGGGGACGCACAAGCGGUGGAUGAUGUGGAUUAAUUCGAUGCAACGCGAAAACCUUACCUACCCUUGACAUGUCUGGAAUCCCGAAGAGAUUUGGGAGUGCUCGCAAGAGAACCGGAACACAGGUGCUGCAUGGCUGUCGUCAGCUCGUGUCGUGAGAUGUUGGGUUAAGUCCCACAGCGAGCGCAACCCUUGUCAUUAGUUGCUACGAAAAGGGCACUCUAAUGAGACUGCCGAUGCAAACCGGAGGAAGGUGGGGAUGACGUCAAGUCCUCAUGGCCCUUAUGGGUAGGGCUUCACACGUCAUACAAUGGUCGGGACAGAGGUCGCCAACCCGCGAGGGGGGAGCCAAUCCCAGAAACCCGAUCGUAGUCCGGAUCGCAGUCUGCAACUCGACUGCGUGAAGUCGGAAUCGCUAGUAAUCGCGGAUCAGCAUGUCGCGGUGAAUACGUUCCCGGGUCUUGUACACACCGCCCGUCACACCAUGGGAGUGGGUUUUACCAGAAGUAGUUAAGCUAUAACCGUAAGGAGGGCGAUUACGGUAGGAUUCAUGACUGGGGUGAAGUCGUAACAAGGUAGCCCUGUUACUACACAAGUGCUCAGGAGCAGUACGCGGCUUUA